GUUGUGGCUCAGUGGUAGAGCUCUUGCCCAGCACACGUGAGGCACUGGGUUUGAUACUCAGCACCACA
rnacentral:tRNA from 1 species